rnacentral:rRNA from 1 species
CCUACGGGCGGCAGCAGUAGGGAAUAUUGCUCAAUGGGGGAAACCCUGAAGCAGCAACGCCGCGUGGAGGAUGAAGGUUUUCGGAUUGUAAACUCCUUUUGUUAGAGAAGAUAAUGACGGUAUCUAACGAAUAAGCACCGGCUAACUCCGUGCCAGCAGCCGCGGUAAUACGGAGGGUGCAAGCGUUACUCGGAAUCACUGGGCGUAAAGAGCGCGUAGGCGGGAUAGCAAGUCAGAUGUGAAAUCCUAUGGCUUAACCAUAGAACUGCAUUUGAAACUGGUAUUCUAGAGUAUGCGAGAGGUAGGUGGAAUUCUUGGUGUAGGGGUAAAAUGCGUAGAGAUCAAGAGGAAUACUCAUUGCGAAGGCGACCUGCUAGAACAUAACUGACGCUGAUGCGCGAAAGCGUGGGGAGCAAACAGGAUUAGAUACCCUAGUAGUC